UUACACAAAAGAUUACAAGUGUAGAAUAAUGUUCUUACUAGUUGCAGAUAAAUAUAAUAAGAAUGUAAAAGGUUUCCAUAAGAGACCAAGUGUGUUUUAGUGUAUGCUUAUUGCACAAAGUUGUGUGCUGUCAUAGAGACGGUGGUUCCCCAAAUAAAGUAAACUCUGACGCACAGAUGGUUUAGCUUAAGCGGUAAAUAUGAGAUAGUUAGUGUCGCAGUGGCCUCGAGCAAAGUACAUUGAGUAAUAAUAACAAAUGAA